UACGUAGGGGGCUAGCGUUGUCCGGAAUCAUUGGGCGUAAAGAGCGCGUAGGCGGCUAGAUAAGUCCGGUGUGAAAGUCACAGGCUCAACCUGUGAAUGCCGCUGGAAACUGUCUGGCUAGAGUCCGGAAGGGGCGAGUGGAAUUCCGGGUGUAGCGGUGGAAUGCGUAGAGAUCCGGAAGAACACCGGUGGCGAAGGCGGUUGGCUGGGCCGUGGCUGACGCUGAGGCGCGACAGCGUGGGGAGCAAACAGG
rnacentral:rRNA from 1 species